GCCCUGGUGGUGCAACGGUUAAGCACUCAGCUGCUAACUGAACUGUUAGUGGUUCAAACCCAUCCAGGGGCU
rnacentral:tRNA from 1 species